rnacentral:rRNA from 1 species
GCGAGUGAAGCGGCAAAAGCUCAAAUUUGAAAUCUAGUACCUUCGGUGCUCGAGUUGUAAUUUGAAGAUGGUAAUCCUGGCGCUGGCCCUUGUCUAUGUUCCUUGGAACAGGACGUCAUAGAGGGUGAGAAUCCCGUCUGAUGGGGUGUCCAGUGCCUUGUAGGAUGCUAUCGAAGAGUCGAGUUGUUUGGGAAUGCAGCUCUAAGUGGGUGGUAAAUUCCAUCUAAAGCUAAAUAUUGGCGAGAGACCGAUAGCGAACAAGUACAGUGAUGGAAAGAUGAAAAGAACUUUGAAAAGAGAGUGAAAAAGUACGUGAAAUUGUUGAAAGGGAAGGGUAUUAGAUCAGACUUGGUGUUUUAUGAUUAUCUUCCCCUCGUGGGUUGUGCACUCGUAUUUCACUGGGCCAGCAUCGAUUUUGGUGGCAGGAUAAUGACAUUGGAACGUGGCUCCCCUCGGGGAGUGUUAUAGCCCUUGUUGAUACUGCCUACCGGGAUCGAGGACUGCGGCUUUUUAGCCUAGGAUGCUGGCGUAAUGAUCUAAUAUCGCCC